UGCUUGGACUUUGCUUCCCUCCUGUAUAUUGUGGAGAAACAGAAGUAGAAGUUUCUUUAGAAGACUGACAGGUGUCACACCCAAGGCAAUAUCAGAUCUUUACAUUUCCUGGACUUGGAUUUCAGGAUCAGGGACAAACU
rfam:Erinaceus europaeus unplaced genomic scaffold scaffold00640, whole genome shotgun sequence